UACAGAGGUCUCAAGCGUUGUUCGGAUUCAUUGGGCGUAAAGGGUGUGUAGGUGGCGCCGUAAGUCGGGUGUGAAAUUUCGGAGCUUAACUCCGAAACUGCAUUCGAUACUGCGGUGCUUGAGGACUGGAGAGGAGACUGGAAUUUACGGUGUAGCAGUGAAAUGCGUAGAUAUCGUAAGGAAGACCAGUGGCGAAGGCGGGUCUCUGGACAGUUCCUGACGCUGAGGCACGAAGGUCAGGGGAGCAAACGGG
rnacentral:rRNA from 1 species